CAUAGCGUCUCACCGUUCCCAACCAAUCUUGGGAAGGAGAGGAUGAUGGCCUCCCAUGUCACACCUGGCGUGGAUGGCUUAAAAUAGGAGCUUUGGGUUACUAGAUGCCGUGGCGAUUGGUGGUACAAACAUCUCGUUGCGGGACAAGUAGCUUCGUUGGCUCGUAGGACCCUCUGUCAACCUUU
rnacentral:misc_RNA from 1 species